rnacentral:rRNA from 1 species
AGAGUUUGAUCAUGGCUCAGAGUGAACGCUGGCGGCGUGCCUAACACAUGCAAGUCGAACGGAGACUUAAGAGCUUGCUCUUAAGUCUUAGUGGCGCACGGGUGAGUAACACGUAGCUAAUCUGCCCUAUGCUAAGGGACAACAGUUGGAAACGACUGCUAAUACCUUAUACUCCGCUAUCACCUAAGUGGUAUCGGGAAAGUUUUUCGGCAUAGGAUGAGGCUGCGGUCUAUCAGCUUGUUGGUGAGGUAAUGGCCUACCAAGGCUAUGACGGAUAGCUGGUCUGAGAAGAUGAUCAGCCACACUGGAACUGAGACACGGUCCAGACUCCUACGGGAGGCAGCAGUGGGGAAUUUUACACAAUGGGCGAAAGCCUGAUGUAGCAACGCCGCGUGGAGGAUGACGGAUUUAGGUCUGUAAACUCCUUUUAUAAGGGAAGAAAUUUGACGGUACCUUAUGAAUAAGCACCGGCUAACUCCGUGCCAGCAGCCGCGGUAAUACGGGGGGUGCAAGCGUUACUCGGAAUCACUGGGCGUAAAGGGAGCGUAGGCGUUCUAUUAAGUCUUGAGUGAAAGCCCGCAGCCUAACUGCGGAACUGCUCAGGAAAACUGAUAGAAUUGAGUAUGGAAGAGGUAGGUGGAAUUUCCAGUGUAGGGGUAAAAUCCGUAGAUAUUGGAAGGAAUACCAGAAGCGAAGGCGACCUACUGGGACAUUACUGACGCUGAGGCUCGAAAGCGUGGGGAGCAAACAGGAUUAGAUACCCUGGUAGUCCACGCCCUAAACGAUGAACACUAGUCGUUACGGAGCUAGUCUCUGUAGUGACGCAGCUAUCGCAUUAAGUGUUCCGCCUGGGGAGUACGGUCGCAAGAUUAAAACUCAAAGGAAUAGACGGGGACCCGCACAAGCGGUGGAGCAUGUGGUUUAAUUCGAAGAUACGCGAAGAACCUUACCAAGGCUUGACAUGUUAGGAAUCUUGUAGAAAUAUGAGAGUGCUAGCUUGCUAGAACCUAAACACAGGUGCUGCAUGGCUGUCGUCAGCUCGUGUCGUGAGAUGUUGGGUUAAGUCCCGCAACGAGCGCAACCCUCGUCCUUAGUUGCCAGCGGUUCGGCCGGGAACUCUAAGGAGACUGCCUGCGUAAGCGGGAGGAGGGUGGGGAUGAUGUCAAGUCAUCACGGCCCUUAUGCCUUGGGCAACACACGUGCUACAAUGGGAUAUACAGAAAGUCGCAAUACCGCGAGGUGGAGCCAAUCUCUAAAAUAUCUCUCAGUUCGGAUUGUAGUCUGCAACUCGACUACAUGAAGUCGGAAUCGCUAGUAAUCGUAGAUCAGCUAUGCUACGGUGAAUACGUUCCCGGGUCUUGUACUCACCGCCCGUCACACCAUGGGAGUUGAUAUUGCCUUAAGUCGGAAUGCUAACCGUAAGGAGGCUACCGCCCACGGCUGUAUCAGCGACCUGGGGUGAAGUCGUAACAAGGUAGCCGUA